UGUAUGCCCUACUGUAAGUUGCUCUGGAUAAGGGCAUCUGCUAAAUUAUAUAAA
rfam:Salmo salar isolate Sally breed double haploid chromosome ssa12, whole genome shotgun sequence.